GGCUUCAAGGGUUUCGAAUUGCAAAUUCGAAUAAGAGCUCAUAAAGCUCUGAAGUCU
rnacentral:tRNA from 1 species